rnacentral:rRNA from 1 species
UACAGAGGGUGCGAGCGUUGUCCGGAAUCACUGGGCGUAAAGGGCGCGUAGGCGGUCUGCUAAGCGUGUGGUGAAAGCUCGGGGCUCAACCCCGCGUCGGCCAUGCGAACUGGUGGACUGGAGCAUGUCAGAGGCAGGCGGAAUUCCGCGUGUAGCAGUGAAAUGCGUAGAGAUGCGGAGGAACACCGAUGGCGAAGGCAGCCCCC